GAGUGGAUAUGGGAUUUAGAGGGAAGAUGAGAGGGGAGGAUGGGAGGGAGGAGUAACAAAAGUAAAAACAAAAACUAAAAACUGAAAUCUAUUUGAAAUUGUUUUCACUUUUGUUACUCCUCCCUCCCAUCCUUCCCUCCCAUCCUUCCCUCCCAUCAUCUUUCU
rnacentral:miRNA from 1 species